UACGAAGGGGGCUAGCGUUGCUCGGCAUCACUGGGCGUAAAGCGCCCUUAGGCUGAUCUUUCAGUCAGGGGUGAAAUCCUGGAGCUCAACUCCAGAACUGCCCUUGAUACUGGAGAGCUUGAGUCCGGGAGAGGUGAGUGGAACUCCGAGUGUAGAGGUGAAAUUCGUAGAUAUUCGGAAGAACACCAGUGGCGAAGGCGGCUCACUGGCCCGGUACUGACGCUGAGGUGCGAAAGCGUGGGGAGCAAACAGG
rnacentral:rRNA from 1 species